rnacentral:lncRNA from 1 species
UUCUAGUAUUUUUUAGUUGCAUGCCUAUUUCAUUCACCUGCCCUUUCUCACUUCUAUUGAUUUGUUCAGAGAUUAAAUUUCCCCCUAAAUACCUAAAAAUUUUGAUAUGUUCUCUCAUCAUGCUUCAAAGACCUUCUAUUGAAUGUUUUUUUUCUUAUAUUAUAAUAAGAUGCAUUUAGCACUUCUUUUCCAUAUUUCUUAGUGAGAUUUUUAUGUCCUAAUAACCAGCCAAUUUUUGUAAAGGUACCAUGUAUAGUGAAGAAAAAGGUAUAUUCUUUUCUAUUCCCAUUCAAUAUUUUCUGGAGGUCUGUUGCAUCUAAUCUAAAAUUCUAUUCAUCUCUUUAACUUCUUUGUUGUUUAUUUUAUGGUUAGAUUUAUCUAGGUCUGAGAGGAGUAAGUCAAGGUCCUCAACUAGCAUAGUUUUACUAUUUCCUCCUGUAACUUGAUUAACUUUUUCUUCAACAAUUUGGAUGCUUCUUGUUUUCUCGUUUUACAGCCUAUUUCCUGACUUUGGGUUCUGCUUAUUUCUGGGGAAGAGAGCGGAUAGGUGCCUAAGCCAACAUCCAGAUCCUGAGACCUUGCCUGAGCAAAUAGAGGAUCAUGAGUUUUCCCAACGUUUCAAGGAGUGAGGAAGUAAGGACCCAGAAUGAUAGAGAUAUUCAAAGGAAAGUAAGCAGAGUCCUCCAAGACAAAAAUGAGGAUGACUGGUGGAUGGCCCAGGAUGCAGGGGAUGCCCUUUCCAAGAGGCCUGACCAAGCUCUAAGCGCUCCACAGGACCUAACUCAGCCUCCUUCAUGGCUGUUUAGAAUGGAUUGCUCUCACCUGCCCAUUCUGCCUGGGGAAGUCGUGCCAUCCUCAAACAGGUUUAGGCGCCCCCCCCCCCUUAAAUACUUUUACUGGGUUGUGGCCACUGUGCACACCAUGGCUUCUUGGAGCCACAGGUGAGAGCUGGAUGAAAGAUGGACCCCAAAGGUCCAUUCAGGCCAUUAAAGGGUUUGGCAAGCCCUCACACCAGAGGUGCUAAUCCUUCUUAAACAUCUCAUACACUCCAAGAGUGAGGGAGCAAAUUCCAAGCAUGAGGGGAAACCUACAUGAAAAUGAGUCAGAAUAUUGUACAUAGAACCUACCAUUUGUUGUUGUUAUUAUUAUUAAAAACCCUUACCUUAGAAUCUAUAUCAGAUCCAAGGCAAAAAGAAUUGUAAAGGCUAGCUAAUUGGGGUUAAGUGACUUGCCCAGGGUCACACAGUUAUGAAGUAUCUAAGUUCACAUUUGAAUCCAGGCCCUCCUGUCUCCAGACCUGGCAUUCUUAUCUCCUGAGCUGCCCCAUAACCUACCAUUUUAAAAACUGCUCUCAUAGAAAGAACUCAGAAAUUAGGAGAUCUGGUCCUGCCACUUACUAGCUGCCUGGCCUUGAGCAAAACACUUCUCUGGCUUGAGCCUCAGUAUCUCCCCUUUUAAAACGAGAGGAUUGAACUAGCUAAUCUCUGGCAUUCUCUUUUGCCUUCUAACUUUUGAGAUCUAAGGCCUCUUCCCGUUUUGACAGACAUUCUCUGUUCUGUGACCCCAUAGCUGGCAUUACAGGGUGUUGGCUUUGUUCAUAAACACAUUCCUUAGACCCUGGAAGCCCUGGGGAAGGAAGCCUGAGGAACAAAGCGUUCCAUACCCAGGUCCUGUCUUCAUGCAUUCCUCGUGCCCCCAGCAGGAUAGCUGAACAACUGCUGCAUUUCUGUCCCUGGGAAGAUUCAAGGCAAACUCCCUCCCCCUUCUUUCAGAUCUGCCCACUUUCUCCCCACAUCCUUCUGGUCUCUCAUUUCCCUCCCUCCUGUCCCCCAAACCACGUGGUUCUCUGGAAAGAGGAUUGUAGCUCGGAAUAAAAGCCAAAAAAAACACA